UCCUACGGGGGGCAGCAGUGGGGAAUAUUGCACAAUGGGGGAAACCCUGAUGCAGCAACGCCGCGUGAGUGAAGAAGUAUUUCGGUAUGUAAAGCUCUAUCAGCAGGGAAGAAGAAAGACGGUACCUGACUAAGAAGCCCCGGCUAACUACGUGCCAGCAGCCGCGGUAAUACGUAGGGGGCAAGCGUUAUCCGGAUUUACUGGGUGUAAAGGGUGCGUAGGCGGUCGGAUAAGUUAGAGGUGAAAUCCCGAGGCUCAACUUCGGAAUUGCCUCUGAUACUGUUCGGCUAGAGAGUAGUUG
rnacentral:rRNA from 1 species